GGGGGUGUCCCGGUUUCGACGGAAUUGGGAAAUCUUGUAUUGCAGGUGAGGGUGAAGGUCCUCUAAACUGACAAAAAAAUAACUGCAAUUUUCGCAAGAAAAGAAGAAGAAGCUGACGCUUCUUUCGAAGCAGAAGCACUCGCUGCUUAAGUAGCCGUGCAGGAACCCAUCCGGCCCUGUUCCGCGUUGGAUGAUGUUCUUUAACCUAUCGGGACUUGCUUGCCACUGUGUCUGGUCUUUGGCAGGGACUAUUAAUCAGAAUACGGGAACGACGCUUGUUAUGCUGCUACCGGGCCCCGACAAUUACCUCGCAUAACUAAACUUGUAGAUAUACCUGGUUUACUUUUUCGGACGGGAGUUCAAUUCUCCCCACCUCCA
rnacentral:tmRNA from 1 species